rnacentral:rRNA from 1 species
GAUGAACGCUGGCGGCGUGCCUAAUACAUGCAAGUCGAGCGAACGGACGAGAAGCUUGCUUCUCUGAUGUUAGCGGCGGACGGGUGAGUAACACGUGGAUAACCUACCUAUAAGACUGGGAUAACUUCGGGAAACCGGAGCUAAUACCGGAUAAUAUUUUGAACCGCAUGGUUCAAAAGUGAAAGACGGUCUUGCUGUCACUUAUAGAUGGAUCCGCGCUGCAUUAGCUAGUUGGUAAGGUAACGGCUUACCAAGGCAACGAUGCAUAGCCGACCUGAGAGGGUGAUCGGCCACACUGGAACUGAGACACGGUCCAGACUCCUACGGGAGGCAGCAGUAGGGAAUCUUCCGCAAUGGGCGAAAGCCUGACGGAGCAACGCCGCGUGAGUGAUGAAGGUCUUCGGAUCGUAAAACUCUGUUAUUAGGGAAGAACAUAUGUGUAAGUAACUGUGCACAUCUUGACGGUACCUAAUCAGAAAGCCACGGCUAACUACGUGCCAGCAGCCGCGGUAAUACGUAGGUGGCAAGCGUUAUCCAGAAUUAUUGGGCGUAAAGCGCGCGUAGGCGGUUUUUUAAGUCUGAUGUGAAAGCCCACGGCUCAACCGUGGAGGGUCAUUGGAAACUGGAAAACUUGAGUGCAGAAGAGGAAAGUGGAAUUCCAUGUGUAGCGGUGAAAUGCGCAGAGAUAUGGAGGAACACCAGUGGCGAAGGCGACUUUCUGGUCUGUAACUGACGCUGAUGUGCGAAAGCGUGGGGAUCAAACAGGAUUAGAUACCCUGGUAGUCCACGCCGUAAACGAUGAGUGCUAAGUGUUAGGGGGUUUCCGCCCCUUAGUGCUGCAGCUAACGCAUUAAGCACUCCGCCUGGGGAGUACGACCGCAAGGUUGAAACUCAAAGGAAUUGACGGGGACCCGCACAAGCGGUGGAGCAUGUGGUUUAAUUCGAAGCAACGCGAAGAACCUUACCAAAUCUUGACAUCCUUUGACAACUCUAGAGAUAGAGCCUUCCCCUUCGGGGGACAAAGUGACAGGUGGUGCAUGGUUGUCGUCAGCUCGUGUCGUGAGAUGUUGGGUUAAGUCCCGCAACGAGCGCAACCCUUAAGCUUAGUUGCCAUCAUUAAGUUGGGCACUCUAAGUUGACUGCCGGUGACAAACCGGAGGAAGGUGGGGAUGACGUCAAAUCAUCAUGCCCCUUAUGAUUUGGGCUACACACGUGCUACAAUGGACAAUACAAAGGGCAGCGAAACCGCGAGGUCAAGCAAAUCCCAUAAAGUUGUUCUCAGUUCGGAUUGUAGUCUGCAACUCGACUACAUGAAGCUGGAAUCGCUAGUAAUCGUAGAUCAGCAUGCUACGGUGAAUACGUUCCCGGGUCU